rnacentral:rRNA from 1 species
GACGAACGCUGGCGGCGUGCCUAAUACAUGCAAGUUGAGCGCUGAAGGUUGGUACUUGUACCAACUGGAUGAGCAGCGAACGGGUGAGUAACGCGUGGGGAAUCUGCCUUUGAGCGGGGGACAACAUUUGGAAACGAAUGCUAAUACCGCAUAAAAACUUUAAACACAAGUUUUAAGUUUGAAAGAUGCAAUUGCAUCACUCAAAGAUGAUCCCGCGUUGUAUUAGCUAGUUGGUGAGGUAAAGGCUCACCAAGGCGAUGAUACAUAGCCGACCUGAGAGGGUGAUCGGCCACAUUGGGACUGAGACACGGCCCAAACGCCCACGGGAGGCAGCAGUAGGGAAUCUUCGGCAAUGGACGAAAGUCUGACCGAGCAACGCCGCGUGAGUGAAGAAGGUUUUCGGAUCGUAAAACUCUGUUGGUAGAGAAGAACGUUGGUGAGAGUGGAAAGCUCAUCAAGUGACGGUAACUACCCAGAAAGGGACGGCUAACUACGUG